UGUGCGAAAAAUAUCGCCGUGCAAGUAA
rnacentral:sRNA from 1 species